rnacentral:rRNA from 1 species
AACGAACGCUGGCGGCAUGCCUAACACAUGCAAGUCGAACGAGACCUUCGGGUCUAGUGGCGCACGGGUGCGUAACGCGUGGAACCUGCCCUUAGGUUCGGAAUAACUCCCCGAAAGGGGUGCUAAUACCGGAUAAUGUCUUCGGACCAAAGAUUUAUCGCCUUUGGAUGGGCCCGCGUUGGAUUAGCUAGUUGGUAGGGUAAAAGCCUACCAAGGCGACGAUCCAUAGCUGGGCUGAGUGGAUGAUCAGCCACAAUGGGACUGAGACACGGCCCAGACUCCUACGGGAGGCAGCAGUGGGGAAUAUUGGACGAUGGGCGAAAGCCUGAUCCAGCAAUGCCGCGUGAGUCAUGAAGGCCUUAGGGUUGUAAAGCUCUUUUACCCGAGAUGAUAAUGACAGUACCGGGAGAAUAAGCACCGGCUAACUACGUG